GGGGUGCUAUACUGCAAGUCGAACGCAAUCUUUGACUAAUGAGUGCUUGCACUCAGCAGUCAAAGUGCGAGUGGCGAACGGGUGAGUAACACGUGGGCAAUCUGCCCAAAAGUGGGGGAUAACACUUGGAAACAGGUGCUAAUACCGCAUCAACCGGCUGACCGCAUGGUCGGCCGGGCAAAGACGGCGUCAGCUGUCGCUUUUGGAUGAGCCCGCGGCGUAUUAACUAGUUGGUAAGGUAACGGCUUACCAAGGUGAUGAUACGUAGCCGAACUGAGAGGUUGAUCGGCCACAUUGGGACUGAGACACGGCCCAAACUCCUACGGGAGGCAGCAGUAGGGAAUCUUCCACAAUGGACGCAAGUCUGAUGGAGCAACGCCGCGUGUAUGAAGAAGGUCUUCGGAUCGUAAAAUACUGUUGUCAGAGAAGAACACGUGAUAGAGUAACUGCUAUGGCGCUGACGGUAUCUGACCAGCAAGUCACGGCUAACUACGUGCCAGCAGCCGCGGUAAUACGUAGGUGGCAAGCGUUGUCCGGAUUUAUUGGGCGUAAAGGGAACGCAGGCGGUCUUUUAAGUCUGAUGUGAAAGCCUUCGGCUUAACCGGAGAAGUGCAUUGGAAACUGGAAGACUUGAGUGCAGAAGAGGAGAGUGGAACUCCAUGUGUAGCGGUGAAAUGCGUAGAUAUAUGGAAGAACACCAGUGGCGAAAGCGGCUCUCUGGUCUGUAACUGACGCUGAGGUUCGAAAGCGUGGGGAGCGAACAGGAUUAGAUACCCUGGUAGUCCACGCUGUAAACGAUGAAUGCUAGGUGUUGGAGGGUUUCCGCCCUUCGGUGCCGCAGCUAACGCACUAAGCAUUCCGCCUGGGGAGUACGAUCGCAAGAUUGAAACUCAAAGGAAUUGACGGGGGCCCGCACAAGCGGUGGAGCAUGUGGUUUAAUUCGAAGCAACGCGAAGAACCUUACCAGGUCUUGACA
rnacentral:rRNA from 2 species